GGGCUCGUAGUUCAUCUGGUAGAACACCCGAUUCGCAUUUGGGAGGCAGGCGGUUCAAGUCCGCCCGAGUCCA
rnacentral:tRNA from 1 species